rnacentral:rRNA from 1 species
GGCUGACAUUUAUAGCUGUGGGCACUUCAGUUCGAGGGUCGGAAA